UUUUAAAACGUUUUCAAAAUAUUUUAAAUAUUUUAAACUUUAUUUGUAACUAACAACCUUUCCGUCUUACAACCCAUACCGUCAUAUAAUUCCAAAAAAAAAAACUCAUGUUUAUUGUUCCAUCAUUCGUAGUUGGAAGGCUAUGAUCUUAUUUAUAAAGAUUCUGAAACAUAAUAAAAAAAAAACUUAUAUAUAAUGUGGGAUGUUGUACAUAUGCUAAAAAA
rnacentral:lncRNA from 1 species